AGGCCGCGGUCGGAUGCCAUGUUCGCACAGUCGAAGCGUAAUAUUGCACUCGUCCCGGCCUGA
rnacentral:pre_miRNA from 1 species